UAUACAACUUUCAGCAACGGAUCUCUUGGCUCUCGCAUCGAUGAAGAACGCAGCGAAAUGCGAUAAGUAAUGUGAAUUGCAGAAUUCAGUGAAUCAUCGAAUCUUUGAACGCACCUUGCGCUCCUUGGUAUUCCGAGGAGCAUGCCUGUUUGAGUGUCAUUAAAUUCUCAACUCCUCCAGCUCUUGCAGCUGGCUUGGGGCUUGGAUUGUGGA
rnacentral:rRNA from 1 species